rnacentral:rRNA from 1 species
GAUGAACGCUGGCGGCGUGCCUAAUACAUGCAAGUCGAGCGAACAGACGAGGAGCUUGCUCCUCUGACGUUAGCGGCGGACGGGUGAGUAACACGUGGAUAACCUACCUAUAAGACUGGGAUAACUUCGGGAAACCGGAGCUAAUACCGGAUAAUAUAUUGAACCGCAUGGUUCAAUAGUGAAAGACGGUUUUGCUGUCACUGAUAGAUGGAUCCGCGCCGCAUUAGCUAGUUGGUAAGGUAACGGCUUACCAAGGCAACGAUGCGUAGCCGACCUGAGAGGCUGGUCGCCCACACUGGAGCUGGGCCACGGUCCAGACUCUUGCGGGAGGCCGCAGUAGGGAAUCUGCCGCAACGGGCGAAAGCCUGGCGGAGCAACGCCGCGCGAGUGAUGGAGGUCUUCGGAUCGUAAAACUCUGUUAUUAGGGAAGAACAAAUGUGUACGUAACUAUGCACGUCUUGACGGUACCUAAACAGAAAGCCCCGGCUAACUACGUG